GGGAAUGUGGCUUAGUGGUAGAGUGCUUGUCUCACAUGCAUGAAGCACUGGGUUCAAUUCCUCAAUACCA
rnacentral:tRNA from 1 species